GCUGGUGUAGCUCAAUCUGGCAGAGUAGUCGUCUUGUAAACGACAGGUUGCAGGUUCGAUGCCUGUCACCAGCCCCG
rnacentral:tRNA from 1 species